rnacentral:rRNA from 1 species
AUUGAACGCUGGCGGCAUGCCUUACACAUGCAAGUCGAACGGCAGCACGGGUGCUUGCACCUGGUGGCGAGUGGCGAACGGGUGAGUAAUACAUCGGAACGUACCUUAUCGUGGGGGAUAACGCAGCGAAAGCUGUGCUAAUACCGCAUACGCCCUGAGGGGGAAAGCGGGGGAUCGAAAGACCUCGCGCGAUUAGAGCGGCCGAUGCCUGAUUAGCUUGUUGGUGGGGUAAAAGCCCACCAAGGCGACGAUCAGUAGCUGGUCUGAGAGGACGAUCAGCCACACUGGGACUGAGACACGGCCCAGACUCCUACGGGAGGCAGCAGUGGGGAAUUUUGGACAAUGGGGGCAACCCUGAUCCAGCAAUGCCGCGUGAGUGAAGAAGGCCUUCGGGUUGUAAAGCUCUUUUGUCAGGGAAGAAACACCGGCUCUAACACAGUCCGGGGAUGACGGUACCUGAAGAAUAAGCACCGGCUAACUCUGUGCCAGCCGCCGCCGUAA